rnacentral:rRNA from 1 species
AUUGAACGCUGGCGGAAUGCUUUACACAUGCAAGUCGAACGGCAGCACGGGUGCUUGCACCUGGUGGCGAGUGGCGAACGGGUGAGUAAUAUAUCGGAACGUAUCCAAUAAUGGGGGAUAACUAAUCGAAAGGUUGGCUAAUACCGCAUACGCCCUACGGGGGAAAGCUAGGGACCUUCGGGCCUGGCGUUAAUGGAGCGGCCGAUAUCUGAUUAGCUAGUUGGUGGGGUAAUGGCCUACCAAGGCGACGACCAGUAGCUGGUCUGAGAGGACGACCAGCCACACUGGAACUGAGACACGGUCCAGACUCCUACGGGAGGCAGCAGUGGGGAAUUUUGGACAAUGGGCGCAAGCCUGAUCCAGCCAUUCCGCGUGAGUGAAGAAGGCCUUCGGGUUGUAAAGCUCUUUCGCAAGGGAAGAAAACUUAUCCUCUAACAUAGGAUGAGGUUGACGGUACCUUGAUAAGAAGCACCGGCUAACAACGUGCCAGCCGCCGCCGUAAAAC